GACGAACGCUGGCGGCGUGCUUAACACAUGCAAGUCGAACGGUGAAGGAGAGCUUGCUCUCCGGAUCAGUGGCGAACGGGUGAGUAACACGUGGGCAACCUGCCCCAGACUUCGGGAUAACGCUUCGAAAGAGGUGCUAAUACCGGAUACGAACUCCUUGGGCAUCCUUGGAGUUGGAAAGUUUUUCGGUCUGGGAUGGGCCCGCGGCCUAUCAGCUUGUUGGUGAGGUAACGGCUCACCAAGGCGACGACGGGUAGCCGGCCUGAGAGGGCGACCGGCCACACUGGGACGGAGACACGGCCCAGACUCCUACGGGAGGCAGCAGUGGGGAAUAUUGCGCAAUGGGCGAAAGCCUGACGCAGCAACGCCGCGUGAGGGAUGACGGCCUUCGGGUUGUAAACCUCUUUCAGCAGGGAAGAAGCGAAAGUGACGGUACCUGCAGAAGAAGCACCGGCUAACUACGUGCCAGCAGCCGCCGUAACAC
rnacentral:rRNA from 1 species